AGGGGUGUAGCUUAAUAGAAGAGCAUCCUAGCAUGUGGGAAGUCCUGGGUUCAAUUCUCAGCACUGCAA
rnacentral:tRNA from 1 species